rnacentral:rRNA from 1 species
UAAAAACCCCGACUUCGGAAGGGGUGUAUUUAUUAGAUACAAAACCAAUGCCCUUCGGGGCUCUUUGGUGAUUCAUGAUAACUAUACGAAUCGCACGGCCUUGCGCCGGCGAUGGUUCAUUCAAAUUUCUUCCCUAUCAACUUUCGAUGUUUGGGUAUUGGCCAAACAUGGUUGCAACGGGUAACGGAGGGUUAGGGCUCGACCCCGGAGAAGGAGCCUGAGAAACGGCUACUACAUCCAAGGAAGGCAGCAGGCGCGCAAAUUACCCAAUCCCGACUCGGGGAGGUAGUGACAAUAAAUACUGAUACAGGGCCCUUUCGGGCCUUGUAAUUGGAAUGAGUACAAUUUAAAUCCCUUAACGAGGAACAAUUGGAGGGCAAGUCUGGUGCCAGCAGCCGCGGUAAUUCCAGCUCCAACAGCGUAUAUUAAAGUUGUUGUGGUUAAAAAGCUCGUAGUUGAACCUUGGGCCUGGCUGGCCGGUCCGCCUCACCGCGUGCACUGGUCCGGCCGGGCCUUUCCCUCUGUGGAACCCCAUACCCUUCACUGGGCGUGGCGGGGAAACAGGACAUUUACUUU